rnacentral:rRNA from 1 species
UACGUAGGCAGCAAGCGUUGUUCGGAAUUACUGGGCGUAAAGAGUGUGUAGGCGGUGCUCCAAGUCUGGUGUGAAAUCUCCCGGCUUAACUGGGAGGGUGCAUUAGAAACUGGAAUGCUAGAGGAUGGGAGAGGUAAGCGGAAUUCCUGGUGUAGCGGUGAAAUGCGUAGAUAUCAGGAGGAACACCGGUGGCGAAGGCGGAUCUCUGGGCCAUAACUGACGCUGAGGAGCGAAAGCAUGGGGAGCGAACAGG